rnacentral:rRNA from 1 species
GACGAACCGUGCGAACGUUAUUCGGAAUCAUUGGGCUUAAAGAGCGCGUAGGCGGCGACGUAAGUUGGAAGUGAAAUCCCAUCGGCUCAACCGUGGAAUCGCUCCCAGUACUGCGUUGCUCGAGGGAGAUAGGGGCCUGUGGAACUGCCGGUGGAGCGGUGAAAUGUGUUGAUAGUCGGCGGGAACGCCAGUGGCGAAAGCGACAGGCUGGACCUUUUCUGACGCUGAGGCGCGAAAGCUAGGGGAGCAAACGGG